UCAACAAAUUCGACCUUAAAAUCUGGCCUUGUCCUCCUAAGCGCAGCUAACCGAGGCUCUUUGCAGAGAGGGGGAGUGAUAGAUGCAGGGGUUUGAAGGAAACAGAGGGAAAGUUAUAGGUGGGCUCCCCCUGGGUUUGUGAAUUGGUGUUUUGUUUUGAAAACCCAGAUAUUUUCACCCUCCUGAGAGCUGCUGCUUUUAGGAAAAGCCUUGUUUUCAUCCAGAUGCCUCUAAUAACGAGACUACAGGUGAGAGGAGAUCCCGGGGUACAAGCAGGGCCACAGGAACCCCUCUAAGAAGAGGGAAGGAUUUGGGAACCCAACCCUGACCUGCAGAGGCAGGUCUGCAGGUGGAGAAACUUGUCUUUAUACGAACUUACACUUAUACUGGAUUGUGAAGACACUGGAUAAAUUGAAUACAUUUCGUGACUCAUUUGCCAGCAGUUCUGAUACCUGAAUGUAGCCACUCCAUUCUUUGUUAUUAAGCAAAAAAUAGAGAGAUUGAGUAACCUACAAGGAAGAUUUAUUCAAGAGCUGCUGCUUGCCAAGGGCCUGCCAUGAGGAGUGGGCACUGCAGGUCCCUGCCUGGUGAAGGAACACACCAAAACCUGCAGUCAUAUAUGGUGGGAGGAGCAGCAAGAGGAGAGGAAAAGGAAAGCAAAAAUCAGAGGCCAGAGGAUGUAAAGACAUCAAAUGUCACAUGGCUUCUGGAUGGGGAUUGGAAGAAUUUUCCAUGACUUUAGAAUGGAAUUGAAUCAUUACAGCUCUGUAGAGCCUUUCUCCCUUAUUGAAAUCCUCACUGGUGCCCAGUGCUCAUAGACAGGCAGGAGCAUGGGGAGAAUGAGGUGGAGGGAUGGUUUGGAGCCAAAUUAAGUAUUUGUGUGAUUUUAUCUAGGAGAGGACAACCACCUCUUCUCCCUGCUCCCUCCUGGGGAACAGACUUCAUUCUCCCUGUCCUGGAGAACAGGGGUGUCAGGAGGGCUCUGAAAUCCUAGUGCCUUGCGCUCAGCUGCUUUGUGGUGCAUUGCACUGAGCAAUGCUUAAAAACCUCAGGGAUGAUGAGGAAAGUGCCUGUAUCCAUGGCAAUGCUCUGCAGCCACAUCCUUCCCCCCUGCAGCCCUGGCCAGAGGACCUGGAGCCACCCCUUGUCCUGUAGCAAGCAGGAACUGGUCCUGUCACUUGUAUUGUCCAGGGGUAGAGGACACUUCCAAUCUGAAGGAAACAACCCCUGAUAACUUGCAGCUGGUCACCAUCUGGAUCACCAGCCAGGUGCCAACAUCUCCCAGGCGUUAGAGAUGAGCAAUGAGAUGGUGGCUUGUUGCGGUGUGAUGUCAUGACUUACCUCAGUUUCCCCUGGUUUCUCCCUGAAAUUUCCUUCCCCAGGUGAGUGUCAAUCACCCUUCCCUUUCCCCACCCUUGACCCCUGCUGGGCACUGUCUGUCAACCCAGACAUUCCAAGAGGAGCAUCGAGUGAUUGGCAGGUUCAAAGGAUGCUCUCCACCCCCUGGGGGGCCAUUGGCCCACCCAGGUGUCCCUCUCACCUGAGACCCCCUCCCCCUGUGCCUGGUUGGUGCUCCCUGUGUUCCCUCCCCUGCCCCUGUCCCCAGGUAAAAGGGCAAGCAGAGCACGGGGUCGGGUGUUCUGCUGGAGCGUUCUGGUGGGAGAGUUUAGUGGAGUUAUUGCAAGAUUCAGAGGCCGUGCCACCAAAAUAAAACUCUGGAUUAAAAACUCUCCAUCAGCACCAGCUCCUUUCUUCACCUCGCCUUAAGGGUUUCUCCAGCUCAGGGAGGCCUGAGGAGUGACCCCCUCAACAGCAAGCUCCAGCCCCAAGCUCUGGAGUUCAGGACAUGCCCGGACUUGUCCCCACGUGCCCAGCUGUGACCGCAGGUACCGAACAGCAUCUCUGGGGAGGAAGGAGCACAGGUGCCGCUGUUUGGCUCAGCAGCCGAGGCCCGACAGACCAAGGCAGUCCCGUCACUAAUAUUGGUACACUCCAAUAGCUGCUGUCACAAUUAAGGGGUGAACAUUAUGUGUAUGUUUUUGGUAGAUGUAGAAUUAUGUUACUGCAGUGUGUGCUCUCCCUUGCAUUGUUGUCACCGGGUGGCCUUGGUACUCAGGGUAUUUGGGAGGGUUGGCUCGUUCCUAUGGCAACACCUGACCUCCAACCAAGGUGUAAGAAAGUGAUCUCCAGCUCUGGACUUUAGGAGGGGCUAGAGGUAUAAAAGGGGGAGCAUCCAUUUUGAAGAUGAACAUGUGGCUGGUAGUCAUGAGGGCUCUCAGCGCUGUAAUUUUUCCUUGUUUAGUCCUUUUGUUGUAGUUUUUGUUAAAGUUUAAUAAAAUUUUAAAAAGUGAGCAGUCAUUUCUCACACAGGGGUUAAGGGCAAAGGUACCAUAAGAGGACCUGCAUGAAGGCCCUUUUGCUCAAGCUCUGAGACAAGCCUUGGCCUGUCCAUGGGAGCAUCACCUGUCUCUGAGGCCUCUGUUCCUUCUUGCACGGGAGACUUUGGGCCACAUCAUGCAGCAAAACCAGUAAAAGUUACAGCAUUUGACUGCUGAGGAACUGGUGGCUUGGCUUCCAAUUAGGAUAAAGCUGUUUAAUUCCUUCCCACCUCAGCACUACCUUCCUGCACAGCCCCGUUACUGAGGCUGGCACACAGAAUGUUAGGGAUUAAUGAGACAGGUGAUUAAAUGUAGUUCUGAUUACAUCCAAUCCCGUGAGGAUGGAUGUGGAACUAUCCUGCUGUGAAUUAAGUAAUAAAGUGGGAAAAGGUAGAAAACAUAGCAGGGCAGUGGUUCUGUUUCAUUAACACCCUCAUGCCUGCCAGUGCUGGCACUUCUGCCCAGUGAAGGUGUGAUUGCAAUGUCAUUUUGGGACCCCUGAGCCAGAGCCAGGGACAGGUGCUUGUGCAAGGACCAGCAACAGGAUCAGGAGGGAGAAACACGGCUGUGCAGUGAACUUCUGCCACUUCCUCGUGCUGAUAUUCUGAAUAAAAAUCCCAUCUGUGCCACACUUUCCCCACUUUCCCCCCCAGCACCUCCUCUGACACUGUAGCUGAUCCCUGGGAAUGGUGCAACAGGUACUACCUCGUGGUGCAGAGCAGCAGCACAUAUGUUUAGGACAGGCAGAUUCCAACAGUACCUCCAUACCUUUGCAGAAGCUAUCCAAAAUCCUGUGGAAGUCUGGCAGUAGGGAGGUUGGGAAAAGCAAUAGUAAAGACCUUCUAGUGAGAGCACUUCAAAUCCAUGGCUCGCAAAGGACAGUGGCAGCCAACACCAUUAUCCCCUACUUACAGAUGGGAAAACCAAAGAAAUUAUUUGCCUUGUGUAACCCAGAAGUGCUGGGAAUGCAGCAAGAUCCCAGACCAGGGGAAUCUCAGUCUCUGGACCAUAAGUGAGUCCUCAGAUGUCAGCACCAAAGGCUACAAAACCUGAGCCCUGCUGGCCAGCUAGCUGGUGCAGCUGGGGAUGUCUCAGUGCUGGCAGGUCUGACAGACAGUUCUGACUGCCCAGCCCCACACCCUCCGCUUCACUUUUAUCCCUUCCAAGGAUGAAAACUUUCUGUGAGCACCACUAAGAUCGCUGAGAGCAGGUCACUCCAAGCCGUCCAUCUGCCUGCAGGCAGGCACAGAGUGCAGGCAGAGCCCCCUCCGGGCAGGAGCUCUGAAACACCUGCCUUUGUGCUCUCCAAAACCUCCUGCUGCCCCGUGUGCUGACCACAAAACAGCUGAGUGUUGACUGCACAGCCCCUGGAGUUCAAAUUCCCAUUUUUUGCCUGGCACUGGGGCACUUUAUCCACACCCUCCUCCUGCUGCCAGCUCUAACACAGUUACAGGGGAGCACUCAGCCCACUCAGGAGCAGAGCAGCUCACUUGUAAACUUCAUAUAACUUGAGGUUUGCUCAGAGUUCAUGCCCCAGGUUGCAGUUAGAUGGAGUGAAGCAGUCCCAAGUGCUUCUGAUGGAUAUAAAAAGGAUAUGCAAUCAGACGUGCACUUAAGCAAGUAUAUUACCAAGUUAAAUGACUACAGUUUUACUAAGCUAAUUAAAAAUGGAACAAAGCGAUGAUCAGAUUAAGGUCAUAAUUAAUAACUCUAUAGGUUCAAAUUAUCCAGUCACCCAAUAAAUUCUCCAUGUAAUCAGAGGG